rnacentral:lncRNA from 1 species
AAUGAAAUUAACGCAUAUUUAGACCAAUAAGACUUCGUCUGGAAUUGCGGAAAGAUUGCGUUACGUGCGGUGAGAAACGACGAUGGAAAAAUACAAUGUUUGUUUCCGUACGUAAUAUUGCGUUUCGUAUAUUGCGGUUAGUCGGUUAUGAUAUAUUUUCUGCGGUUCCAUCGGAGAACGCAGAAACAUAUUACUAUAUACUUUUUCUCAACUCUAUUCUAUCUAAUAGCGGUAGAUCCACCUCGUCAAUACCAAAUUAAGCCUAACAACUGUAAGGCUAAUGCAUCAAACUACUGCGAACGUCAUCCGUGCUCUUGAACGCAUCAAACUACUGACGAACUCCUGGUCUAUGCUCAGUUGAUGACACCAGCUCUCCCAUUCUUUUCUUUUUUCUUGUUCUAUCGUUUUUUCCUUCCUGCUACUUUACUUACUUUUUUUUAUCGCUUUUUCGGAGGCCCUAGCUGUUUCCAUAAUAUACGCUUAGUUCAUACUGCUUAAUGAAUGAAGCUGGUAGCUUGCUACCUUUUUCUCAAAAAAAAAAAAAUAAUAACAACUUUAAGGCUAAUACUAAGGGCUUUUUCAAACUUUUGCAUCAAGAUAAGAAAAAGAAAACAGAAGAGGAUCGAAACUAAAGGCGUGUAGAGAUAGAGAGAUAGAGAGAGCAUCAUCCCAAAUGAUCUAGGUCUGAGUUUCAUCAUUACAAAAUAAUGUCACAUUUCUAAUGAGAGCUUUUUUUGCAUUUAGACCCCUGGCAAAUUUUUAUUUUUAAAAUAGUCCUGUCAAAAUUUAAUUUGCAAAAAUGGUCCUGGGCCUGCCACGCAGGCGCCACGUCAGCGCCACGCGGGCAGGACCGGGCCCAUGUGUUAAGUUGAACACGGUGAAUCAUUCACCGUGUUCAAACACGGUGAACGGUUUACCGUAUUUAGCACGUAUUUUUUUUAUAUUGAAAAGAGAAAUAAGGAAUAGGGAUGUCAAUAGAUAUGGAUAUCCGAAAUAUUAUCCGAAUUCAAACCCGAAUAAAUUUUAUAU